rnacentral:rRNA from 1 species
UUGCACGCUGGCGGCAGGCCUCACCCCUGCAAGUCGAGCGGAUGAAGGGAGCUUGCUCCUGGAUUCAGCGGCGGACGGGUGAGUAAUGCCUAGGAAUCUGCCUGGUAGUGGGGGAUAACGUCCGGAAACGGGCGCUAAUACCGCAUACGUCCUGAGGGAGAAAGUGGGGGAUCUUCGGACCUCACGCUAUCAGAUGAGCCUAGGUCGGAUUAGCUAGUUGGUGGGGUAAAGGCCUACCAAGGCGACGAUCCGUAACUGGUCUGAGAGGAUGAUCAGUCACACUGGAACUGAGACACGGUCCAGACUCCUACGGGAGGCAGCAGUGGGGAAUAUUGGACAAUGGGCGAAAGCCUGAUCCAGCCAUGCCGCGUGUGUGAAGAAGGUCUUCGGAUUGUAAAGCACUUUAAGUUGGGAGGAAGGGCAGUAAGUUAAUACCUUGCUGUUUUGACGUUACCAACAGAAUAAGCACCGGCUAACUUCGUG